GAACCCUUGGCGCAGCGGUAGCGCGUCUGAUUCCAGCCAUCCCGCAGGCAGCAGUCGCAAGCGCUGCGCUAUGGUUAUAAGUCAAGGAUCCAGAAGGUCGUCCGUUCAAUCCGGGCAGGGUUCA